UGCUUGUGCAUGUGUGUGCGUUCUCUCAAAAUAAAAUUAAAUAAAUUGAUAGGUAAAUAAAUACAUAAAAGUAGCUGUCACAGGAGACCCUACCGCCCAUAGGACUUAGGGGGACCAAGGGCGGAAGAUGGAAUUUAUAAAAAUUAGGACCUUGGAGGAUUGGCCUGGUGGACCUGGGGCUCAGAGCUCUGGGGAUAGGACACGACCAGCUGGUGUUAGUGUCUCUGAAGCGGACACUGGGAAGAUUGCUGUGUGGUGUUGGGGAGGACGUGGGUGGGCUGCACUUGCUAUCGGGGGAAGGGACUGCUAUUAACCAGGGUGAGGAAACAUUGCCGGGGCCUCCGUCAGAGCCACAGACAGAGGGGGAGCCCAAUGAGGCAAACUUGCAGGAGGUAAAUCCCUUCUUCCACCAUCUUCACCUAGCAGAGCCUCACAUGGAAUCAUCUGGAAAAAAACACAACUUCGGUGCGUGAAACCCUAGCCCCAGCAUCGCAAGGGCGAUUUGAGAGCUGAGAGACCAUAGGCUAAAAUCUGGCACAGAGUGCUUGACUGGAAUAGCAGAGAGAGUCAGGAGCAGACAAGGACAAGUGAGAGACACCCAACCAAUUUUUUUGUUUUCUUUCUUUCUUUGUUUUUUAUUGCUGAUAUUCAAGACUAAUAGGUUUGAUGAUCAACCCCCAAGAUGUCAGACUGGCUGCCUGGGGAGGCUUAUGUGGUUCCUGCAUGGUAAGAAGGCCCCAUUCUUGACUACCGGUCUAGAGAGAAGGUUCUGUGGAGGCUGGCGAGGCACAGACGUCUCUGGGGCUGCUCCCCUAACUUGGGAAGGCCAUCAGACUAACUGCAAACAGGAGAGCUGCCGCCCCCUUGUGGACACCUGCGGUUCUGCAGGAGGGUAAUGUGACCUUGCAGUUGGCUGGACUUCACCUGGAACUCCAGGAAUGACAUGGGAAUUGGCUAGGAAAAGUCAGUUUGAUCCUCUGAUGUCCAUGAGGGAGCUGUCAGCACUGGUUCAUGAUGAUGAUGACGCCUUUCUUCAAAAGGGAUGGAAGUCUCAACCACUUUCAAUCUGAUCUGAUCCACUGCUCAAAAGAACCUCAUGGCCUCCCUGGCCAGCUAUAGACACCCCAACACCCUAAAAGACAAGCCCAUCUCAUCUAGCAUCUGCUCUGGGUCUUGCCGUGUCCUUUCAAGCAGGGCUGGGGACAGACUUUUUCUGUAAGGGACCCAGAGAGUAGACCCUUGAGGUUUGCAACCAUACUGUCUCUGUCUCAAUGAUCCACUCUGCCAUCGUGGCCGUGGAUGGUAACGCAACAGAAGAGCAGACUGUGUUCAGAUACAACUUUAUUAGUGACACUGACAUUUAAAUUUCACAUGACCGUCGCCUCUCGUGAAAUGUUAUUCUCCUUUUGAUUUUAUGAGAUCGUUUAAAAAUGCAAAAAUCAUUCUUAGGUUGCAAGCCUUCCAAAAACAGGCAGUGGGUUGGACUGGGCCUGUGGCUAAAACUGAUUGACCCUUGAUAUACAGCCUUCAACAGUUUAGGUCCUUAGAUGGUGCCAUUGUGAGCUCAAAUCAUUGAAGCGGCCUCUGCUCACCUUAUUACAAUUCCCGGAAAGUACCCGUGUACCUGCAGGAUCCGGCCCCUGGGAUCCCACAGGCCGUGGGGCCAGCCAGGUUUGAGGGGGCUUCUGUGGGAGAAACUCUGGCUGUAAACGCUACCUCUUUUUCUAGCGAGAUGGGGAAACUUGUUCUCGCUUACGUGCGUGGUGCUGGGUUCCGACAAACUGGGGUGUUGAUCUGAACCUAAUACAUAGUUUGAACAGUAGUGUACCAUUCACUGAUCAUUCCAUCACUGAUAAGAGGAAUCACUCCAGAUAUCUUUAAGCAACACCCCUCCCUCAAUGCGCUGAAAAUAUGAUGGGUUUAAUGACAAUGUGAUUCUUACAUGGCUUCCCCCGGAACUCAGUCUUUUGAAAAAGCAAGGGGCGGUGUGCUUUAACUUACAUUCAAUGUGUGGUUUCUUUUGUCUCUUGGGUAUUUCAGUUGGAGACUCAAAUGGAGACAGGAUACAUAUGAGAAACUCGGAAGGGUUUUAAAGGGCUUUGUGGGAAAAAAAAGUUUAGAGCAGUGUUACCUUUUGGGUUACAAAGUGGGGAGUGGAUCUACAGUUGUGUUUUCCUUGAUGUACGGAAGGAGGUUCUGGAAGGAAAGCAAGGGCUGAAUACCUAGUAGAUGUUGGGGAGAAUUGGAGGGUGGGGGGAGACACCUGACUGCACCUGUCCUUGUUCCCUGGAUUGUGAGCCUUAGCAGCAUCUGCCUUUUCCUUCUUCCCUCCCCACCUGUCAGCAGGACCCAGCUCUGCCAGCCUUUGAGGACACAAGGCUCCAUAAGACACAGAUGUGUGUGUUUCCAGUGAAGGAGGCAGGCAUCGAAAGAAAAACUGGUGAUAUCAAGUGAUAAAUGCUAAACAGCCCGUGAAGGGACCCAGAGGAAGUGCUAAUUACCUGUCUAGGAGCAGAAGAGGUGCCUGUUGUCUGAUGGUGAGGUUGGCGGUGACAAGGAUGGUGAUAACAGCUCCUAGACCUCCUACUGGGUGCCUGUUCCCAUACUAGGUAAAGACACUGGAACAGGGAGGAGUUGACGGACCUAAGCUUUAACAGUUUACAAAUGUCGCAGCUAGGGGGCGCCAGGGUGGCUGUUGGUGAAGCAUCCCCGGUUUCAGUUCAGGUCAUGAUUUCAC